ensembl:lncRNA
UAUUGUGUGAACAUAGCUCUGCUUAGAGCUGAAGAGCAGGCUGAGGAGUAGUGCCUGGCUUACAGUGAAAUGGAUGCUCACUUCCUUUGAGAAUCCCCCAGCAUGCCAGGAAUUUUAAACUCAUAGCAUUACUUUUCUUUAGAAAUCAUUCUAACACAUUACCAGCCUUAGACUCCCUUAGAUGAACCUCCCUACCAUGCUCCGCUGUAACUGAAUGGAGACACCUUAUAACGUGGUCCACGUUUAUCUGCAAGGAACUAUUUGUAACAAAAGCAGUGAGGGGAGGCUGACUGACACUCACUGAAUACUGAAUGAAAAAAGAAUAAUGUGGAAUUCCAGGAAUGUGAGGCUUUUGAGGUUGUUGAAGAUAGAUUGCUCUACCCUGGAAGACCCUCCGGAGGGCUAUGGCUUUAGCUGUAUUAUGCCAUGCUUUAUCAUGUUGGUACACAGCCAGGAGCUGUGCCACUCUUUGGUGUUGGCAUAAGGCUUUUCACUUCUCCAGUGAGUUCUGCAGGGGGCAGCACAAAAGGAGUUAAAAAUCUGGGCUUGAAAAAGUUAAUACAUUGUUCUGAGUGCCAAAGUGUUACAAAGUCAUCUGUUCUAAAAGACGAAUGUCAGGGAAAGUAUUUAUAUGCAUUAUAUGCUGGUUUUCGGGGUGUGGAGGACAGUGAAAAGGGACAAGCCUUUCCCUGAACUCACUACGCAGCCAAAGAUAAACUUCAAUUUCUGGUCUCUCUGCUUCUAUCUCCCAAGUGCUAGGAUUACAGGUUUCGCUUAACAUUCUGUUGUAUACAGCCCAAUCCCAGAGAGUUUUGUAUACAUGCUAGGCACGCUACCAAAUAUGCUGCAUCCCCAGCUCACACAGUAUGUUUGAAUUACAGUUAGUAGGAAAGACAAGAAAAACAAUAAAUUGAAAAAAAAAUUCUACCCAAUUAGACAAGAUGGAUGAAGCAAAGAAGUGCAGACCGACAGGAGCCGGAUGUAGAUCACUCCUGAGAGACACAGCCAGAAUACAGCAAAUACAGAGGCGAAUGCCAGCAGCAAACCACUGAACUGAGAAUAGGACCCCCGUUGAAGGAAUCAGAGAAAGAACUGGAAGAGCUUGAAGGGGCUCGAGACCCCAUAUGAACAACAAUGCCAAGCAACCAGAGCUUCCAAGG